rnacentral:rRNA from 1 species
GACGAACGCUGGCGGCGUGCUUAACACAUGCAAGUCGAGCGGAAAGGCCCUGCGUUUGUGGGGUGCUCGAGUGGCGAACGGGUGAGUAACACGUGAGUAACCUGCCCUUGACUUUGGGAUAACUUCAGGAAACUGGGGCUAAUACCGGAUAGGAGCUCCUGCUGCAUGGUGGGGGUUGGAAAGUUUCGGCGGUUGGGGAUGGACUCGCGGCUUAUCAGCUUGUUGGUGGGGUAGUGGCUUACCAAGGCUUUGACGGGUAGCCGGCCUGAGAGGGUGACCGGCCACAUUGGGACUGAGAUACGGCCCAGACUCCUACGGGAGGCAGCAGUGGGGAAUAGUGCACAAUGGGCGGAAGCCUGAUGCAGCAACGCCGCGUGCGGGAUGACGGCCUUCGGGUUGUAAACCGCUUUCGCCUGUGACGAAGCGUGAGUGACGGUAAUGGGUAAAGAAGCACCGGCUAACUACGUG